GCACUUUUAAACCUUCACCCUCCACCCACUAAUUUAUACCUGCUUUGCUGGUAAGUCACAAUUCAGAACAAUCAAUAGAUGGAGAAUUGCUCCACACGAUGUCUGCAAGUUGUUUUCCUAUAAAUAUUUUCACAGUUAAGUUUUCAGUUGUUCUUUUAUUUGUUAGACUAGAAAACAAAUGUUUAGUGCUUGUGUUGCCCUCACUCAUGUCUCUUACUGAGUACAAGCCAAGAGUCCCGUCUUCAAACCCAAGGCAGACAGUAUGGUCAUCUUCAGACAUGGCUACAGCAGUUGGCAUUUUACCAAGAUGGCACUGGCCAGUCUUCUCUCCAUUAAACGCUUUUAUAACAUUCAGGAUAGGGUUUGUAUGGAACUGACAAUUGCAUUUAGAUUGAUUAACAUGACAAACGUAAAGAAAAUAUUUACCACUUUUAGUUAACUGUUGAUGCAAAAUUAUGUUUGGCUCAUGAAUAAGCCCUAGUUGGCCAUCACGUGUGUUGAAAACAUGGACAGUUUUAUUCACAGUCAAGACUAUGGUGUUUCCAUUGGAUGAAACUUGAAAUGAGCUUUGUGGUUGCGAAAAACUGAUUGGUAGUUUGACUUGGUGGCAAACUGUUUCUUCUACCACAUCCCACGUAUAAAUGUCUCCAACAGAAGUCAUGAUAACUAGGAAAUCUGGUUGACUUUUCAGACACUGAAAGUUGACUAUGAUACUUGUCUUCUCCAUGGCUAGAUGGAACUCCUUAGUGACUAAUCCUGACCAAAGGCUGACGGCAAGAAGUUUGUCAUCAUGCAAGCCAACAAGGAAGGUGCCUUGAGGAGUAACGACUGGCGAGCUGAGAUAAAUAUGUAUUUUACACACAACGUGUCCUGUUGUAGGAUUCCAAACUCUUGAAGCUCCAUCUUUGCACAGAGUAAUCACCAUAUUGGAGAUAGGGGCUGUAAGUAAUUGUGAUACAGAAUUGCCUUGGAUGUAAUGGAUAUUUUCUCCAGUUUCAGUUACCCAAACAUAGAGGUCUCCAGACACAACAGAUGUAACUAGCAGCUCCCCAUUUCCUGUUAAUAUAAUCAUUUCUACAAGAUCUCCAUGAGAAAAAAUGUUCCUGAUCUUGCAACACAAGAUAUCCCAUUUGCACACCAUAUCAGAACCAUCAGUAGUGUAGGCUGCGCUUCCUUGGGGACAAAGAAGUAAAAACUCAACUGGGCGGCCUGUUUGGGAGAAAGCAUUUGAGGAGACCACUGCUUUUAUGUCCCACAACAUCAAGAAACCUCCUGUUGUGACUGCUACUAAGCUUCUUAGAUAUAGGCACUUGGUAAGCAAACUGAUAUCUCCAUCUUCUAGUUGGAGAAUAGAAAUGCACUGUCCACUCUCUCGGUUCCACACAAAUACUGUGGAACAAUUUUCCACAGCUGCAAUGAUUUCUUCGCAACUGAGGGAAAAUACACAGCAAAUAAAUGUACAAUCUUUAGGAGGCUUAAAAUGACUACUUUCCCAGUCCACUGUUCUCCAGACAUCUAUGGUUUUUGAUCUACAAAUUAAUAGCCAUUCUGGAGUGAUAUUUGAUGAGAUUAUCUCAUUAUUUUCCUCCAGAGUGAAAAGUUCAUCUACAAGUUGAGGUUCUGUUGGAUCAUCAAUGUCCCAGACAUUUAUAUUGCUUGCUUUGUCAAUAAUAUACACUAGAGAAUCUUGUAUAUAAACAUAACUUAUUGAGUGCAUUGAAAUAUUCAGAUCCAAAGAAAGAUGAAUUUUAAGAGAAAAAUCCAGAUUCUCGCAAAUUAAAAUUGUACUUGUUUGUCCUAAAAUUGUAUAUUUCCC